rnacentral:rRNA from 1 species
AUUGAACGCUGGCGGCAUGCUUUACACAUGCAAGUCGAGCGGCAGCGCGGGGGCAACCCUGGCGGCGAGCGGCGAACGGGUGAGUAAUGCAUCGGAACGUACCCUGGAGUGGGGGAUAACGCCGCGAAAGCGGCGCUAAUACCGCAUAUGCUCUGAGGAGGAAAGUGGGGGACCGCAAGGCCUCACGCUCUGGGAGCGGCCGAUGUCCGAUUAGCUAGUUGGUGGGGUAAAGGCUUACCAAGGCGACGAUCGGUAGCUGGUCUGAGAGGAUGAGCAGCCACACUGGGACUGAGACACGGCCCAGACUCCUACGGGAGGCAGCAGUGGGGAAUUUUGGACAAUGGGGGCAACCCUGAUCCAGCCAUGCCGCGUGAGUGAAGAAGGCCUUCGGGUUGUAAAGCUCUUUUGGUCGGGAAGAAAGUGCCCUGCUUAAUACGCGGGGUAUUUGACGGUACCGGCAGAAUAAGCACCGGCUAACUACGUGCCAGCCGCCGCCGUAACAC